GCUGGGUGUGGUGGCGGGCACCUGUAAUCCCAGCUACUUGGGAGGCUGAGGCAGGAGAAUCGCUUGAACCCAGGAAGUGGAGGUUGCAGUGAGCCAAGAUCACACCACUGCACUCCAGCCUGGGUGACAGAGUGAGACCCUAUCUCAA
rnacentral:SRP_RNA from 1 species